UUUAUCGCCCUGAUGUAUUUACAGAGAGCAAUCAAAUCUCCCCUCAGCCUUAGUUAUGUUAGACUAAACAUGCCAAAUAAUUUGACAC